rnacentral:rRNA from 1 species
UAGGGAAUCUUCCACAAUGGGCGAAAGCCUGAUGGAGCAACGCCGCGUGUGUGAUGAAGGGUUUCGGCUCGUAAAACACUGUUGUAAGAGAAGAAUGACAUUGAGAGUAACUGUUCAAUGUGUGACGGUAUCUUACCAGAAAGGAACGGCUAAAUACGUGCUA